rnacentral:lncRNA from 1 species
AAGACGUACGUCAUGCAGAGCUCCGGAAAGCAAGUCAUGCCAUCUCUAUUUGCUGUGGACUUCUUCCAUCCCCCGCCACCUUCAUGCAUUUGUAAUGUAUAUCAGAAAUAUGAAGCAGAGCUCACUGUGACCAUCCCCGGAAUUAGAUAAAAAAACACCAGCUGGGACACUGGAUAGCAUAAACUUGGCAUACUACAGAAUAACUUUUCAUCCAAAACAUCCCUGAAAGCAGGACAAGACAAAGUCAAUGACACACGGAAAUGGCCCACCACAUAGAGACUAAAUAUAAUGGUGGAUGCAAACAAGCAAAACUACAUAAAUAUACAAUCAUUUUCCAGAGCACAUUUUUUCUGAAGACUCAUUAUAUCUGAUUUUGACUAAAUAGGAAUGCAGACAGCUUGUGCUCAACCUAUAAUUAAGAGACCCCACUUUACAAACUGCAUGAAGAAAUAUGAUUUUUGUCAAAUGUUCACAGAGCUGCUUUCUUUGUAAAUUAA